rnacentral:rRNA from 1 species
UUGUGAGGUUAAGCGACUAAGCGUACACGGUGGAUGCCCUGGCAGUCAGAGGCGAUGAAGGACGUGCUAAUCUGCGAUAAGCGUCGGUGAGGUGAUAUGAACCGUUAUAACCGGCGAUUUCCGAAUGGGGAAACCCAGUGUGUUUCGACACACUAUCAUUAACUGAAUCCAUAGGUUAAUGAGGCGAACCGGGGGAACUGAAACAUCUAAGUACCCCGAGGAAAAGAAAUCAACCGAGAUUCCCCCAGUAGCGGCGAGCGAACGGGGAGGAGCCCAGAGCCUGAAUCAGUGUGUGUGUUAGUGGAAGCGUCUGGAAAGGCGCGCGAUACAGGGUGACAGCCCCGUACACAAAAAUGCACAUAUUGUGAGCUCGAUGAGUAGGGCGGGACACGUGGUAUCCUGUCUGAAUAUGGGGGGACCAUCCUCCAAGGCUAAAUACUCCUGACUGACCGAUAGUGAACCAGUACCGUGAGGGAAAGGCGAAAAGAACCCCGGCGAGGGGAGUGAAAAAGAACCUGAAACCGUGUACGUACAAGCAGUGGGAGCCUCUUAAUGGGGUGACUGCGUACCUUUUGUAUAAUGGGUCAGCGACUUAUAUUCUGUAGCAAGGUUAACCGAAUAGGGGAGCCGAAGGGAAACCGAGUCUUAACUGGGCGUUAAGUUGCAGGGUAUAGACCCGAAACCCGGUGAUCUAGCCAUGGGCAGGUUGAAGGUUGGGUAACACUAACUGGAGGACCGAACCGACUAAUGUUGAAAAAUUAGCGGAUGACUUGUGGCUGGGGGUGAAAGGCCAAUCAAACCGGGAGAUAGCUGGUUCUCCCCGAAAGCUAUUUAGGUAGCGCCUCGUGAAUUCAUCUCCGGGGGUAGAGCACUGUUUCGGCAAGGGGGUCAUCCCGACUUACCAACCCGAUGCAAACUGCGAAUACCGGAGAAUGUUAUCACGGGAGACACACGGCGGGUGCUAACGUCCGUCGUGAAGAGGGAAACAACCCAGACCGCCAGCUAAGGUCCCAAAGUCAUGGUUAAGUGGGAAACGAUGUGGGAAGGCCCAGACAGCCAGGAUGUUGGCUUAGAAGCAGCCAUCAUUUAAAGAAAGCGUAAUAGCUCACUGGUCGAGUCGGCCUGCGCGGAAGAUGUAACGGGGCUAAACCAUGCACCGAAGCUGCGGCAGCGACGCUUAUGCGUUGUUGGGUAGGGGAGCGUUCUGUAAGCCUGUGAAGGUGUGCUGUGAGGCAUGCUGGAGGUAUCAGAAGUGCGAAUGCUGACAUAAGUAACGAUAAAGCGGGUGAAAAGCCCGCUCGCCGGAAGACCAAGGGUUCCUGUCCAACGUUAAUCGGGGCAGGGUGAGUCGACCCCUAAGGCGAGGCCGAAAGGCGUAGUCGAUGGGAAACAGGUUAAUAUUCCUGU